rnacentral:misc_RNA from 1 species
AGCGUUCUAAUUGUACAGAUCA